GAUGAACGCUGGCGGCGUGCCUAAUACAUGCAAGUCGAGCGAACGGACGAGAAGCUUGCUUCUCUGAUGUUAGCGGCGGACGGGUGAGUAACACGUGGAUAACCUACCUAUAAGACUGGGAUAACUUCGGGAAACCGGAGCUAAUACCGGAUAAUAUUUUGAACCGCAUGGUUCAAAAGUGAAAGACGGUCUUGCUGUCACUUAUAGAUGGAUCCGCGCUGCAUUAGCUAGUUGGUAAGGUAACGGCUUACCAAGGCAACGAUACAUAGCCGACCUGAGAGGGUGAUCGGCCACACUGGAACUGAGACACGGUCCAGACUCCUACGGAAGGCAGCAGUAGGGAAUCUUCCGCAAUGGGCGAAAGCCUGACGGAGCAACGCCGCGUGAGUGAUGAAGGUCUUCGGAUCGUAAAACUCUGUUAUUAGGGAAGAACAUAUGUGUAAGUAACUGUGCACAUCUUGACGGUACCUAAUCAGAAAGCCACGGCUAACUACGUGCCAGCAGCCGCGGUAAUACGUAGGUGGCAAGCGUUAUCCGGAAUUAUUGGGCGUAAAGCGCGCGUAGGCGGUUUUUUAAGUCUGAUGUGAAAGCCCACGGCUCAACCGUGGAGGGUCAUUGGAAACUGGAAAACUUGAGUGCAGAAGAGGAAAGUGGAAUUCCAUGUGUAGCGGUGAAAUGCGCAGAGAUAUGGAGGAACACCAGUGGCGAAGGCGACUUUCUGGUCUGUAACUGACGCUGAUGUGCGAAAGCGUGGGGAUCAAACAGGAUUAGAUACCCUGGUAGUCCACGCCGUAAACGAUGAGUGCUAAGUGUUAGGGGGUUUCCGCCCCUUAGUGCUGCAGCUAACGCAUUAAGCACUCCGCCUGGGGAGUACGACCGCAAGGUUGAAACUCAAAGGAAUUGACGGGGACCCGCACAAGCGGUGGAGCAUGUGGUUUAAUUCGAAGCAACGCGAAGAACCUUACCAAAUCUUGACAUCCUUUGACAACUCUAGAGAUAGAGCCUUCCCCUUCGGGGGACAAAGUGACAGGUGGUGCAUGGUUGUCGUCAGCUCGUGUCGUGAGAUGUUGGGUUAAGUCCCGCAACGAGCGCAACCCUUAAGCUUAGUUGCCAUCAUUAAGUUGGGCACUCUAAGUUGACUGCCGGUGACAAACCGGAGGAAGGUGGGGAUGACGUCAAAUCAUCAUGCCCCUUAUGAUUUGGGCUACACACGUGCUACAAUGGACAAUACAAAGGGCAGCGAAACCGCGAGGUCAAGCAAAUCCCAUAAAGUUGUUCUCAGUUCGGAUUGUAGUCUGCAACUCGACUACAUGAAGCUGGAAUCGCUAGUAAUCGUAGAUCAGCAUGCUACGGUGAAUACGUUCCCGGGUCU
rnacentral:rRNA from 1 species